UUAUGUUUUGGGGGGAAAUUAUCUGGCCAGACGCCAUCUAGUCGGAGUUGUGUUUUCUUGCCUUGACUGCUGUAUUGCAAUAGUAAUAUUAGCCAAAAUAAUUAUUUCCUUUACGUUAGAAGACAUAUGAAGUCUCCGGUGUAAAGCAGAGGAAACGGCUCCAACUCGUUAUGGAAGACUGCUUGCACACGUCUUCAGUGAAACUGUCUAAGUUGGUCCGAUGGGCCCACAGUCACGGCACCAUCUGUGCUCUCAUCCCGAACCUCAAACACCUGCUCACUGAGGGGUCCCACGGGAACCUGACCGCCAUGUGGGGGUGCAGCGCGGGCCACGCCUACCACUGGCCCCUCAACGUCACCUGCAAGAUGGGCCCGAAGGAGCGAGGUGGCUGCUACCAAGACAGCCGCAGCAUCAACUCAGACAGCCUCAGUCUCCAGGGAGGGACCUCUGCCUGCCAGAGCAGCCCAGGAGGAGAGAGGUUUCUGGGCCUCUCCAGCAAAGCCAAGUGGGGCGACAGCAGCCAGACCCGGGACUCCUGCGACUUCUCCAACUGCAGCGACGAUAACACUGAGGCGGACGACAGCAACCUGUUUGAUAUUGUCUGUGAGUCCUCAGCCACAACGGACGAGGAAGGAGAUGCAGACUACGAGCCUCAUCACAGACCCAGGACGAGGGGUCCCCUAGGGGGACCAGGGUCUGAGGACAAAUCAGUGAAGAAGAUCAAGCAGGAGACUGCUGAGGAAUAUUACACAGGACCUAAAGACCAGCUAGCAGCAGGGGGAGGUACUGACUCUGGCCUGGCCUCUCACUCAGUCUCCCAGUCCCCAAAGCCUAAUAACUCUCAGUCCCAGUUGUCCCUGUCCCACGCUUCACCACACAAGCCCUCCCUGAAGGACGCAGACUGUUUGGGUGGUGGUGUGUCGUGGUCUCCGCUGGGGUGCUCCUCUCCUCACAUACCCAUGCUAGCCAAACCGCUACGAGGCUUUACUUCCAGCUCUGUCUCCAAGCCCUCCGUGAUGAGCUCUGGUUCCCCCAGACAUCAGGACCCGUCCUCUGGGUCGACUCAGCGCCUGAGAACCCUCCCUGGGGCAGCCGGUGAGCUGAUGGAGGACCUGCUGAAGCCUGGAGGUUCUGAGGGGCCCUUUGGGGACCUGACUCCCUCCUGCCUCAGUGGGAUGAACCCUGACCUGGACCUGAUUGGGGCAGAGACCAAAGGAGAGGCUACAGUGGGAUGGGCUCUCUGUGAGAUGGAGCGUCUGCGGGCGCUGCUGAGUGUGGAGCGGAGCCUCAGUCAGCAGAUGGGAGACACCAUCAAUAGCCUGAAACAGGACAAGCAGCUGCUGCAGCAGGAACUCACCAAGAAGGCUGAACUCAUCUGUGACUUCCUGCAAGACCAGCUGCGACCAGAGAAGAGGCGUGGUCAUUCAUCCAUCCAGAUGGAGGUGGGGCUGGGCAGCUCCACCCACAUGGGGGUGGGGUUCCCUGACGAGGGCAUGGCGUUGGAGAACUCUGCCCUGUUCGAAAGCUUCGAAGAGGUGGAGACCCACCCCCUGGACCGACGCAGGGAGAUGAAGAGGAGCAGAGAUGGAGAGAACACACGAGUCAGGAUGAAGAACGUGGUGGGCGUGAUCGCCAGGUACAUGGCGGCCCUGCAGGAGUUCAGACGCAGCGUCUCCAUGAAGGUGGCGUUCGACCGCGUGGGCGUCGACCGGAACACCAUCUCAAGGACGGCGGCCAUCGCCGAGCUGAGCCUGGCAGCUCCAGAGGUGUUCCACGCCCUGCCGCCGUGGGACGAGAAGGAGGAGACCCUGGCUCACUACGCCCACCGCUGCCGGCAGGCCAUGGACGACACCAUCCACGCCAAGAUCAAAACCAUGAAAACCAAGGGAGACCUGCUGCCUAUAGUCAGCAAGCAACACCAAACUGAGGGGUCUACAUCCCUGCUGGACUCCUACCUGGCCUCCUUCAGGGCGGCGAGGCAGGAGGGCUGGGAGUAUGAACCCAACAGCCAACUACCAGUGUGUUCUGGAGCGUCACCUGAAGGAGCAGCGAUACAGCUACAGCAUCACCAGAGACAAGGAGGCCCUGAAACAGAAGCCAUGAAGCUUCUCUGACGAGCUGAGAAAGAGAGACCUGCUGAGCCGCUUCAACCAUGAUAGGACUGCUCAACUUAGUGUGGCUCAACAACACAGAGACGUUUGUCCACUGCACCGGCUUCCAUGGCUCCUCGCUGACCACGCCCACCGGCCUAGACUGUCUGGAGUGGACCUGCCAGGACUCCUCAGACGUCUCUGCUGAGACCCGCCGGGCGGGGACAGAUUGUCGGAUCUACGCCACGCCUCACGCCCCCCGACCCUCUGCUGCUUCUUCUUCUAAGGAGCAUGCCCAGAGGAGACCCAUGCUGUACGGGGACGCUCCCUUCUACCUGUCCAUCAGACUUGUGGUCAACCUGGCCGCCCUCCACUGGUACAACUGCCAGGCCCUGGGUGAGAACAAACAGGCUAUGAUGGUGAGGAGGGCAACAUGUGAGAAGGGCAACAUCCCUGGGAGGAAGACUCACUCCAGUGUAUACCAGAGCUGCAGUACCCUGUCAGAAGCUCAGAACAACCAGCUGAUCUGUAACAACAUUUACAUUUACACAGACACCCCCAGACAGACCCCCCAGACAGACACCCCCCAGACAGACACGCCCCAGACAGACCCCCCAAGACAGACCCCCCAGACAGACACCCCCCAGACAGACCCCCCAGACAGACCCCCCCAGACAGACCCCCCCCAGACAGACACGCCCCAGACAGACACCCCCAGACAGACACCCCCCAGACAGACACCCCCCAGACAGACACGCCCCAGACAGACACCCCCCAGACAGACCCCCCCAGACAGACACCCCCCAGACAGACACGCCCCAGACAGACCCCCCAGACAGACACGCCCCAGACAGACCCCCCAGACAGACCCCCCAGACAGACCCCCCAGACAGACCCCCCAGACAGACACCCCCCAGACAGACACCCCCCAGACAGACACCCCCCAGACAGACACCCCCCAGGAGAGCAAAGGGCCUGUUUAA